rnacentral:rRNA from 1 species
GUCCAUGCCGUAAACGAUGAGUGCUAGGUGUUGGGGCUUCCACCCCUCGGUGCCGAAGUUAACGCAUUAAGCACUCCGCCUGGGGAGUACGGCCGCAAGGCUUAAACUCAAAGGAAUUGACGGGGACCCGCACAAGCGGUGGAGCAUGUGGUUUAAUUCGAAGCAACGCGAAGAACCUUACCAGCUCUUGACAUCUUCUGACAACUCUAGAGAUAGAGUGUUCCCUUCGGGGACAGAAUGACAGGUGGUGCAUGGUUGUCGU